AAUGAACGCUGGCGGCAUGCCUUACACAUGCAAGUCGAACGGCAGCAUGACCUAGCUUGCUAGGUUGAUGGCGAGUGGCGAACGGGUGAGUAAUGCAUCGGAACGUGCCUUUUAGUGGGGGAUAACGUAGCGAAAGUUACGCUAAUACCGCAUAUUCUCUGAGGAGGAAAGCAGGGGACCUUCGGGCCUUGCGCUAGAAGAGCGGCCGAUGUCGGAUUAGCUAGUUGGUGAGGUAAAGGCUCACCAAGGCAACGAUCCGUAGCGGGUCUGAGAGGAUGAUCCGCCACACUGGGACUGAGACACGGCCCAGACUCCUACGGGAGGCAGCAGUGGGGAAUUUUGGACAAUGGGCGCAAGCCUGUUCCAGCCAUGCCGCGUGAGUGAAGAAGGCCUUCGGGUUGUAAAGCUCUUUCGGCUGGGAAGAAAUCGCACCCUCUAAUACAGGGUGUGGAUGACGGUACCAGCAUAAGAAGCACCGGCUAACUACGUG
rnacentral:rRNA from 1 species